AAUUUCAGGGCCGUUGUCGCCUCCGGGCGGUCCGCGGGUCCCGAGCGGACUGGGACUCUGGAGACGUGCCCCCAACCCCACCGCCAUUCACCCUGUCAUUGCAGGGGAGAGAACAGAAUAAAGACGGCUACUCCUGGGAAACUUAACUCAGCCAAAUAAUGCAAACAAUUGCAUCCAUCAUCAGCCACAUCAGCCUUAGGAGAUACAUCCAUAUCAUGAGAAAACACUACCUGAAAUUGGGGACCACUGGAGGAUUAAAGAACAAGGAGAUGGCUGGCUAUUUAAGAAGGAAAGGCAGAGGCUGCAGAAAUUGAGCCUAACGGCUUAUCAGAUGGGAUGGAUAAUUCUUUAAGUUUAAAAGAACUACUCAUUUUCCCCAACAUCUGUCUUUGCCAUCUUCCUAUCUAAGGAACCUUUCACUUUUUAGCUGGGGACAUAGCUUUCUGGUAUGAGAACUACACUGCUCAAACUUCCAAUCAGCUUGUAUGCACUUGGUGAAUCUUACCUACCACAAACAGAAGUCUGGAAAGUGAAAAUUUAUUUCCUUUUCACCAUGACCAGCCUUGUUCAGAACAUCUGAGAGGCACAGACCUGAGAAAGAAUCCCCAGGCUGAAGAGGUAGAAGUUGGCAGAAGUUAAAAGCAAUGUCUCCACAAUGGAGAAGUGACAUGCUAAAGGAACCUGGCAUCUAGACAUUUCCUAACCCCCAAUCCCUCCUUACAUAUGACCUGCUCUUAGAGGAGUACAGCGUGGUGGUUAGGAGUGUGGACUCGGCAGCCAGAAAUCCUGGGAUCUGUUGCUUGUUAGCUGUGGGCCUUAAGCUAAGAACUUAACCUCUCUGUGCCUCAGUUGCUCCAUCUGUUCAAAUGAAGAUAAUGAUAAUGAAGAUGAUAUCACCUGCUGUGUAGGAUUGUUAUGAAAAAUCAAGAAUUAAUAUUUGUAAAUCACUUACAGGGUCUGGCACAUAAUAAGUGCUGUGUGGGUGUUUGUUAAAUAAAAUAAUAUACAAUGACA
rnacentral:lncRNA from 1 species